GGUCAAGCGAACAAGUGCAUGUGGUGGAUGCCUUGGCGAUCACAGGCGAUGAAGGACGCGGUAGCCUGCGAAAAGCCCCGGGGAGCUGGCAAACAAGCUUUGAUCCGGGGAUGUCCGAAUGGGGAAACCCACUCCUUAUGGAGUAUCCAUAGCUGAAUACAUAGGCUAUGUGAAGCGAACGCGGUGAACUGAAACAUCUAAGUAACCGCAGGAAAAGAAAUCAACCGAGAUUCCCAAAGUAGUGGCGAGCGAAAUGGGAUGAGCCUUGUACUCUUUAUUUGUAUUGUUAGCCGAACGCUCUGGAAAGUGCGGCCAUAGCAGGUGAUAGCCCUGUAGGCGAAAACAGUAUGAAAGAACUAGGUGUACGACAAGUAGGGCGGGACACGUGAAAUCCUGUCUGAAGAUGGGGGGACCAUCCUCCAAGGCUAAAUACUCGUGAUCGACCGAUAGUGAACCAGUACCGUGAGGGAAAGGCGAAAAGAACCCCGGGAGGGGAGUGAAAUAGAUCCUGAAACCGCAUGCAUACAAACAGUCGGAGCCUCGUAAGGGGUGACGGCGUACCUUUUGUAUAAUGGGUCAGCGACUUACGUUCAGUAGCAAGCUUAACCGUAUAGGGCAGGCGUAGCGAAAGCGAGUCCGAAUAGGGCGUUCAGUUGCUGGGCGUAGACCCGAAACCAGGUGAUCUAUCCAUGGCCAGGAUGAAGGUGCGGUAACACGUACUGGAGGUCCGAACCCACUAACGUUGAAAAGUUAGGGGAUGAGCUGUGGAUAGGGGUGAAAGGCUAAACAAACCUGGAAAUAGCUGGUUCUCUCCGAAAACUAUUUAGGUAGUGCCUCGUGUCUCACCUUCGGGGGUAGAGCACUGUCAUGGUUGGGGGGUCUAUUGCAGAUUACCCCGCCAUAGCAAACUCCGAAUACCGAAGAGUGCAAUCACGGGAGACAGACAUCGGGUGCUAACGUCCGGUGUCAAGAGGGAAACAACCCAGACCGCCAGCUAAGGUCCCCAAAUAUGGCUAAGUGGGAAACGAAGUGGGAAGGCUAAAACAGUCAGGAGGUUGGCUUAGAAGCAGCCACCCUUUAAAGAAAGCGUAAUAGCUCACUGAUCGAGUCGUCCUGCGCGGAAGAUGUAACGGGGCUAAGCCAUAUACCGAAGCUGCGGAUGCGAGCUUGCUCGCAUGGUAGGAGAGCGUUCCGUAAGCCUGCGAAGGUGCCUUGUAAAGGGUGCUGGAGGUAUCGGAAGUGCGAAUGCUGACAUGAGUAGCGAUAAAGGGGGUGAAAGGCCCCCUCGCCGUAAGCCCAAGGUUUCCUACGCAACGUUCAUCGGCGUAGGGUGAGUCGGCCCCUAAGGCGAGGCAGAAAUGCGUAGCUGAUGGGAAGCAGGUCAAUAUUCCUGCACCAUUGUUAGAUGCGAUGGGGGGACGGAUCGCGGAAGGUUGUCCGGGUGUUGGACGUCCCGGUCGCUGCAUUGGAGAAGGCGCUUAGGCAAAUCCGGGCGCAGGAUUCAAGGGUGUGGCGCGAGCGACUUCGGUCGCGAAGCAAUUGGAAGUGGUUCCAAGAAAAGCCUCUAAGCUUCAGUCUAACGAUGACCGUACCGCAAACCGACACAGGUGGGCGAGAUGAGUAUUCUAAGGCGCUUGAGAGAACUCGGGAGAAGGAACUCGGCAAAUUGGUACCGUAACUUCGGGAUAAGGUACGCCCUUGUAGCUUGACCAGCCUGCGCUGGAAGGGUGAAGGGGUUGCAAUAAACUGGUGGCUGCGACUGUUUAAUAAAAACACAGCACUCUGCAAACACGAAAGUGGACGUAUAGGGUGUGACGCCUGCCCGGUGCCGGAAGAUUAAAUGAUGGGGUGCAAGCUCUUGAUUGAAGUCCCGGUAAACGGCGGCCGUAACUAUAACGGUCCUAAGGUAGCGAAAUUCCUUGUCGGGUAAGUUCCGACCUGCACGAAUGGCGUAACGAUGGCCACACUGUCUCCUCCCGAGACUCAGCGAAGUUGAAGUGUUUGUGAUGAUGCAAUCUACCCGCGGCUAGACGGAAAGACCCCAUGAACCUUUACUGUAGCUUUGCAUUGGACUUUGAACCGAUCUGUGUAGGAUAGGUGGGAGGCUAUGAAACCGGAACGCUAGUUUCGGUGGAGCCGUCCUUGAAAUACCACCCUGGUUUGUUUGAGGUUCUAACCUUGGUCCGUGAUCCGGAUCGGGGACAGUGCAUGGUAGGCAGUUUGACUGGGGCGGUCUCCUCCCAAAGGGUAACGGAGGAGUACGAAGGUACGCUAGGUACGGUCGGAAAUCGUGCUGAUAGUGCAAUGGCAUAAGCGUGCUUAACUGCGAGACCGACAAGUCGAGCAGGUGCGAAAGCAGGUCAUAGUGAUCCGGUGGUUCUGUAUGGAAGGGCCAUCGCUCAACGGAUAAAAGGUACUCUGGGGAUAACAGGCUGAUACCGCCCAAGAGUUCAUAUCGACGGCGGUGUUUGGCACCUCGAUGUCGGCUCAUCUCAUCCUGGGGCUGUAGCCGGUCCCAAGGGUAUGGCUGUUCGCCAUUUAAAGAGGUACGUGAGCUGGGUUUAAAACGUCGUGAGACAGUUUGGUCCCUAUCUGCCGUGGGCGUUGGAUAUUUGAAGGGGGCUGCUCCUAGUACGAGAGGACCGGAGUGGACGAACCUCUGGUGUACCGGUUGUGACGCCAGUCGCAUCGCCGGGUAGCUAUGUUCGGAAGAGAUAACCGCUGAAAGCAUCUAAGCGGGAAACUCGCCUUAAGAUGAGAUAUCCCUGGAGGCUUGACCUCCUUGAAGGGUCGUUCGAGACCAGGACGUUGAUAGGUCGGGUGUGUAAGCGCAGUAAUGCGUUCAGCUAACCGAUACUAAUUGCCCGUAAGGCUUGAUCCU
rnacentral:rRNA from 1 species